UACGAAGGACCCAAGCGUUAUCCGGAUUUAUUGGGUUUAAAGGGUGCGUAGGCGGCUUAUUAAGUCAGUGGUGAAAGCCUGAAGCUCAACUUCAGAAUUGCCAUUGAUACUGAUGAGCUUGAGUAUAGUUGAGGUGGGCGGAAUGUGUCAUGUAGCGGUGAAAUGCUUAGAUAUGACACAGAACACCGAUUGCGAAGGCAGCUCACUAAGCUAUAACUGACGCUGAGGCACGAAAGCGUGGGGAGCAAACAGG
rnacentral:rRNA from 1 species